GUACAGGAUGGACCCGCGUCUGAUUAGCUAGUUGGUAAGGUAACGGCUUACCAAGGCGACGAUCAGUAGCCGACCUGAGAGGGUGAUCGGCCACAUUGGAACUGAGACACGGUCCAAACUCCUACGGGAGGCAGCAGUGGGGAAUAUUGCACAAUGGGCGAAAGCCUGAUGCAGCAACGCCGCGUGAGUGAUGAAGGCCUUCGGGUCGGAAAACUCUGUCCUCAAGGAAGAUAAUGACGGUACUUGAGGAGGAAGCCCCGGCUAACUACG
rnacentral:rRNA from 1 species